rnacentral:rRNA from 1 species
GACGAACGCUGGCGGCGUGCUUAACACAUGCAAGUCGAGCGAGGCCCCUCCUUCGGGAGGGUGUCCUAGCGGCGAACGGGUGAGUAACACGUGGGCAACCUGCCCUCAGCUCUGGGAUAACUCCGGGAAACCGGGGCUAAUACCGGAUACGACCUCCACGGGCAUCUGCGGAGGUGGAAAGUGUUUCGGCUGAGGAUGGGCCGCGGCCUAUCAGCUAGUUGGUGGGGUAGUGGCCCACCAAGGCGACGACGGGUAGCCGGCCUGAGAGGGCGACCGGCCACACUGGGACUGAGACACGGCCCAGACUCCGACGGGAGGCAGCAGUAGGGAAUAUUGCGCAAUGGGCGAAAGCCUGACGCAGCGACGCCGCGUGAGGGACGAAGGCCUUCGGGUUGUAAACCUCUUUCAGCAGGGACGAAGCGAAAGUGACGGUACCUGCAGAAGAAGCACCGGCCAACUACGUG